UCAAAUGCUUUUUCUUCGAGUUGAUAGGAAUAGUUCGUAGGUUUUGGUUAUGGCAGGUCUGCUCUGUUCUCUGUUUUCUGGCUGACUUCUUAUCAAACUGUUGAGAGGCCAAAGGCAACACUGGUGUUUAAUUACAAGCGACACGGAUUGUGGACAUAAGAAAGAAGCAGUAGCAGGAAGCCUGUAAGCUGUCAGCCUCAGAAACAGGAAGGAAUCUUCUGCCUAGAAAAAGAAUUUAUGAUUGAUAUGAAUGUAGGAAACUAAGGUGCUCCUUAAAUUGAUUUGUAGGAAAAUCUGGAAGAGGGGAAAAAAGAAAAAGAACCAAAAAUGGGGUUGAAGCAAGAUCAUUACACCUCACAAGUGCUGAGCUUUUUAGUUUGUUUCAGGGCAAAGGACUUGGGGGAAAAAAGAGAAGAGUAUCGUAAUGAAACUGUGAGAUGGCAACUAUGUCUAUAAGCCUGAAGAUCUUUUGACUGUGCACAUAGGGGAGACUUACAAAGAUUUUUUUAGUCCAGAAAAGUAAUUACAAUCCUAUACCACAUCAAAGAAAAGGAUCUUCUGGCAUUAUAUCUAGAAAAAGUCAGAAGUGUCUGAAUUUAACCUAAUGUUCCUUGUCAGGAAGCCAGAAUUUACAAAUUCCAGAACACUUCUUGC